rnacentral:lncRNA from 10 species
CGUGUUCCGCCCACCUCCCGGGGUCCUAGCACCCUCACCUCAUCUUGCACCUCCUGUCCCCUCACCCCAGCAUUGCUCAGCGUCCCACCCCGAUGGCCCCCACCUUCGGGACUGCCCCUGGCAGGGUGGGCUUCAGGGAGCCGAGAGCCCUGGUGGUGGCUCGUGGGAGGGGGCCUGGGCGUGGGUGUCUGGGCCACAGGAGUCCGAGAGCCAUCCCGAGGGGAGAGGGCGUCAGUGAGACGUGGGCUGGGGCUGUUUCCCUCUAGCUGCAGGACCCGCAGGGUCAGUGUCAGCCUCUGCCUCCCCCAGGAGGCCUCAGCCUUUCCUCCUAAGACUCAGUUUACUCAGCUGCCAAAUGGGACCAUUUCUUGUCCUUCCAACCCCACGAAAUUUCCAUGAGACACCGAAGGGCAAUAAAGGCUGUGGGCAACCCUCAGUACAUGCCCAGCUGUGGGGAGGACAGGCUGGGACCCCCACUCCCCAUGGCCAAGGGACAGGCUAGAUCUCCCACAGCUACCUCCAGGGGACAGGCUGGGACCCAAUGCCCCACCACCAGGGGACAGGCUGGGUCCCCCGCACCCCACCUCCAGGGGACAGGCUGGGCCCCCCACAUCCCACCUCCAGGGGACAGGCUGGGCCCCCCACACCCCACCUCCAGGGGACAGGCUGGGUCCCUCUGCACCCCACCUUCCGGGGACAGGCUGGGCCCUUCUGCACCCCACCUUCAGGGGACAGGCUGGGUCCCUCUGCACCUCACUUCUAGGGGACAGGCUGGGCCCCUCUGCACUGCACCUUCAGGGGAUGCUUGGGUAUAUAGGGCCUAGGCCCUGGCCAACAGCCACUCACCCACGGCCCAGCCAGGGAGCUGAGAGCUGAGAGCGAGCAGUCACCCACUGCACCCCAAGGCUGGGAGCCACCAGCAGGGGCAAAGCCCAUUGAGCUAUGGUUCCCGGCCGUCCAAGCCCAAGCCCAGAUCUGGAAGCAAACACCCAAGGAGACACUUUCUCCCUGUCCGAACUGCCCAGAUGGUGAGCUCCCUAUUGGGAGGCAGAUCACACCUCGGCCGGGAAUUCCAGGAU